GGGGGGUAGGAGUGUGUUCAUGACGCCACAUCAUGAAGCUCCCAGCAGCCUGGGAACUGUUACACACUGUUACCGACAGGCAGGCUGUGCAGAAGAGAUGUCUCAGCCACAACGGUGCAACAAUUCCCACAGCCGUUAUCAUCCUGCUCUACGAACCAGUAGAGGGAGUCCGAGACUUGAAUCUCGUUCCUUUCUUUUGAUACGGUAGAUAAGGAAGAUUAAAGACGUCUUGUCCUGACAACUCAGAAAAAAGGCAAGAGAACAAUCUGACAAGACUUAACAAAACCCAUCGCUGGAAAAGGAGAACUUCAAACAGAAUCAAAACCUGCAGACGAUGAAGGAGAGAUGCAAACACACCACCUCAGGCUCUGACUCUCUGCCUGCAUGCCUGCCUGUCUCUCUGUCUCCAUACCUGACUGUAUGUCAAUCUGUCUACCUUUCACGCUACAUGUUUUGCAAAGUGGCAUCUAUCCUGCAUCGCUGCUGGAGCAACU